rnacentral:lncRNA from 1 species
GAGUUUCGGCGUCAACAGACCGACCUUGCCGCCUCGCGGGCCACCAUUAAUGCCAUGCGGGCCGACCUCGACGCCGUGCGGGCCGACCGUGAUGCCUCGAGAACUGAGCUGGACGCCGUCAAGCGUGAGCGCGACAUCCUAGCCGCCGACUUGUGCCGUGCCGCGGAGGAAGAGAUGACUCGGGCUGCCGCUGCGCAAGAAGCCUUUCUUCAGGACUUUGUUCCCGAGUACCAGAGCCGUUUGGCUGAUCUGAAAAAGGACCACGCC